CGAAUGGCUCAUUAAAUCAGUUAUCGUUUAUUUGAUAGUACCUUACUACUUGGAUAACCGUGGUAAUUCUAGAGCUAAUACAUGCUAAAAAUCCCGACUUCGGAAGGGAUGUAUUUAUUAGAUACAAAAGCCAAUGCCCUCCGGGGCUCACUGGUGAUUCAUGAUAACUUCUCGAAUCGCAUGGCCUUGCGCCGGCGAUGGUUCAUUCAAAUUUCUGCCCUAUCAACUUUCGACGGCUGGGUAUUGGCCAGCCGUGGUGGCAACGGGUAACGGAGGGUUAGGGCUCGACCCCGGAGAAGGAGCCUGAGAAACGGCUACUACAUCCAAGGAAGGCAGCAGGCGCGCAAAUUACCCAAUCCCGACUCGGGGAGGUAGUGACAAUAAAUACUGAUACAGGGCUCUUUUGGGUCUUGUAAUUGGAAUGAGUACAAUUUAAAUCCCUUAACGAGGAACAAUUGGAGGGCAAGUCUGGUGCCAGCAGCCGCGGUAAUUCCAGCUCCAAUAGCGUAUAUUAAAGUUGUUGAGGUUAAAAAGCUCGUAGUUGAACCUUGGGCCUGGCUGGCCGGUCCGCCUCACCGCGUGCACUGGCUCGGCCGGGCCUUUCCCUCUGGGGAACCGCAUGCCCUUCACUGGGUGUGCCGGGGAACCAGGACUUUUACUUUGAAAAAAUUAGAGUGUUCAAAGCAGGCCUAUGCUCGAAUACAUUAGCAUGGAAUAAUAGAAUAGGACGUGCGGUUCUAUUUUGUUGGUUUCUAGGACCGCCGUAAUGAUUAAUAGGGACAGUCGGGGGCAUCAGUAUUCAAUUGUCAGAGGUGAAAUUCUUGGAUUUAUUGAAGACUAACUACUGCGAAAGCAUUUGCCAAGGAUGUUUUCAUUAAUCAGGAACGAAAGUUAGGGGAUCGAAGACGAUCAGAUACCGUCGUAGUCUUAACCAUAAACUAUGCCGACUAGGGAUCGGACGAUGUUAUUCUUUGACUCGUCCGGCACCUUACACGAAAGUACAAGU
rnacentral:rRNA from 1 species